UUUACUUCUAGGUUCAGCUGCCUGCCAAGACGCCAGGUGACACUCGGGGCUCUCCAAGGCCACUCCUGCCAUUGUCUCCAGCUGGGGAGCCCAAGAAACCACACACGUGAGAUGCACAGUCUGAUAUGGCCGGCUCUGCCCCUCUGGGUUUUCCUCAUUGAGUAUGACUUCUCCAGUAUGACUAGCAAAUGAAGAAUCAUGCUGAAAUACUCUGUGGUGUAGCCCAAUCCUGCUCUUAACCAUGACCAUUACUGUAACUCAAACAAAACAUCCUGGAACUGGUCGCACCUUCACAACCUCAGUGAACUGCGUAGUCCCCUUGGUAAUCAUGAAUAUCUGGUAAAUGCUGUCAGUUCUAAAUGAAGCCAUGAUGCUGGGAUCCGUUAACAAAAUCCAAAGUGAAUUUGUCUUAAACACUUGCAAGUGGAUGGAGGAGAAUCUCUACAUUUCUAUGUGGAAUGUUCAGAUGGCAAAGCAACGGUUUCUGCAGUGAAACAAGUUUCAUACAAGGACACUGUCAGUACAGGUACCAGUACCACCAAUGUGCCAGAGAAGAAUGCAGUCAGGAUGGCGAGAAGUACAGUUUUACUUUCUCCCAUCCUGUCUUUGUUUCGCCACUAUUUUUCUUGUCCCCCUCCUCCUCCCCUCCUUAUUGCAAGAUGUCUGGCACCCUGCAUCUGGCAUGAAAUCUUACGGAUCCGCAUUUUCUACAGGGCUGCAACAACAGGUUUCAACUUGAUUUGCCAUCCCUGUGAAACAUGGAGUUUCAUUUGUUUGCUUCCGAGGACAAGAAGGGCUGUAGCUCUUAGUGCUGAAAAGGUGGAUCUUUAUGUUGGAUUGGAUGUUUCUAAAGAGAUGAAUUCAACUGUCACAUAUUAUUUAAGAAAAGUAUUUUUAUUGUAUGAUGUAUUGUGAAAGCACAUUCCACGUUUGCAUGUCAUUUCACCACUCUGUUGUUUUAAAGUUGCUAUGGGCCUUGAGAAUAUCCACUGGCAGAAAUUUGCACUUAGCAUUCUAAAAGGUGCUGAGAAUCAUGUCACCUGGGCAUCUGAUUUUACAAGGUGGGAAACUGAGGCUGGCAAAAAAGAAAGGGUUUGUUCAAGGUCAGAGCUGGUUAUGAUAACACUGGAAGAAUUCCCGAAUUGGGGGCCUCAGAUCAUUAGCAUAAUCCACAUGGUCUUCAGGAUUCAUUCAAUGCUCAUUUUAUUUUUUGCUAUAGCCAUUCUUUCUCAUGCACUUCUAUACCACAUCUACUUAUACUUAAAAACAGAUGGCGCUUAUAUGAAAUACUAUCUCUCUGGACUCACACAUAUUAUUAAUAUUUGAUUAUUUUACAGAAUUUUAUAAAAUGCUUUUCCUACUCUGACUAUUUUAAAUGACAUCAUAUGCCUUUGUAGAAUUUUGAAUUGGAGGAUAUUGUUUUUUGGCCACUUCACAUAUAUUAUGAGUUAUAUACAGGAAACUGAUUUUAAAGAGUGAUGGAUGGAUGGAUAGACAGCGUGGAUGGGUAAAUAAAUGAACACAUAGGCAUAUAUUUACAUAUGCACACAUACAUACCGUUUUAAUAAUAAAUGUAUUAUUUUGUACAGAGACCUGAUUGACAAAUGCUACACGUGUGCAUCUCGUUGAGCUCCUCAAGGCCAGAGGUGCCGCUCUCUUCACUGACUGCUGUGCCUGGUCCAGGCAGGACCUGCCACCAAGUCAGUGCUGAAAAUGUUGGCCAACAAAAACAUCUGCACUGUCGGAAGGACUAGAAGCUCCAGAACAAUGCCUGGGCUUCAAGAUCCAAUGGAACUUUGUCACA